rnacentral:rRNA from 1 species
UGCGAAGGGGGCUAGCGUUGCUCGGAAUCACUGGGCGUAAAGCGCACGUAGGCGGCUUUCUAAGUCAGGGGUGAAAUCCUGGAGCUCAACUCCAGAACUGCCUUUGAUACUGGAGAGCUAGAGUCCGGAAGAGGUGAGUGGAACUGCGAGUGUAGAGGUGAAAUUCGUAGAUAUUCGCAAGAACACCAGUGGCGAAGGCGGCUCACUGGUCCGGUACUGACGCUGAGGUGCGAAAGCGUGGGGAGCAAACAGG